GACGAACGCUGGCGGCGUGCCUAAUACAUGCAAGUAGAACGCACAGUUUAUACCGUAGCUUGCUACACCAUAAACUGUGAGUUGCGAACGGGUGAGUAACGCGUAGGUAACCUGCCUGGUAGCGGGGGAUAACUAUUGGAAACGAUAGCUAAUACCGCAUAAUAUUGAUUAUUGCAUGAUAAUUGAUUGAAAGAUGCUAUUGCAUCACUACCAGAUGGACCUGCGUUGUAUUAGCUAGUAGGUGAGGUAACGGCUCACCUAGGCGACGAUACAUAGCCGACCUGAGAGGGUGAUCGGCCACACUGGGACUGAGACACGGCCCAGACUCCUACGGGAGACAGCAGUAGGGAAUCUUCGGCAAUGGACGAAAGUCUGACCGAGCAACGCCGCGUGAGUGAAGAAGGUUUUCGGAUCGUAAAGCUCUGUUGUAAGAGAAGAACGGGUGUGAGAGUGGAAAGUUCACACUGUGACGGUAUCUUACCAGAAAGGGACGGCUAACUACGUG
rnacentral:rRNA from 1 species